ACUGGCAAGAGAAGGCGGGAGGUGACGUGAGCUGUGAGACGGGGGAAGGAACAGCCGAGAAGUGACUGUCCCGUGCCCCGCAGAGUUGGAACAACGGAGUGGGGGUUUUGGAGAGGAGAAAGACAUUAUGACCGGGAUUGUGAUGAG